rnacentral:tRNA from 1 species
GCCGAGGUGGUGGAAUUGGUAGACACGCAAGCUUGAGGAGCUUGUGGGUGAAAGCCUGUACGGGUUCGAGUCCCGUCCUCGGCA